GUCUGUUGGAAGCAGUGAGUCUGUUCACCUGAACCCAUGCUGCCUGUUCUUCUUAGAUAACUAUGGCCUGAAGUACCUGCAGAGCCAGAAUUACUUGCAUGAUGAAUGUCCAGGACUGUGGCCAGAAGACAGAAGUGGAGAAGUGUCAUCAGUAUAAAAGACACAGGCAGAAGUUGCUUUGAA